rnacentral:rRNA from 1 species
CUGCCAGAAUUCAUAUGCUUAUCCCGAAGAUUAAGCCAUGCAUGCCUACGAAAAAUCUGGCGGUACCGACCUUCGGCUUAACCCGCGAGGGAGCGGCCGAUAGCUGGGAGGCCGAUGACUCAGCGAACGGCUCCGUAUAUCUGUUGUGACCUAUCGUGGUAAAUUAGGCGUGGAUAUCCACGGAAAAUCUGUGGGUAAGCCAGCCAAUUGGGGCGCAACGCCUACCGGCUUGGCAUGCUGGGACGGGCUUAAGCGGGUUCUCCAUGCGAGGGCCCCGCCUCAUUAACUGCUCCCAAAGUACCAGCUUCCCGGCAUAACUGGGUUACAUGUAAAAUUUGGCUGCGAAACGGAGGCCUCUGCGACCGGACUGCCCCCCCGUUGUCAAUUGACCGACGAAGGUGGCCGGCUUAUGCAGAGACUAACCACAAGCGCACGAUGGGCUUCAGACCUAUCAGCUAGUUGGCAGGGUAUAGGCCUGCCAAGGCUAUGACGGGUACAGAGGAUCAGGGUUUGAUCCUGGAGAGGUAGCCUGAGAAAUCGCUCCCACUUCUAAGGAAGGCAGCAGGCGCGGAACGUUCCCAAUGCCGUUCGAUCGGUGAGGACGUGAAGGGAUAUAACAAUGCCCCCAAAAAAAUUUGGCGGGUAAUGCCAAUGGCCGG